rnacentral:tRNA from 1 species
GCCUGGCUGGCUCAGUCAGUAGAGCAUGUGACUCUUGAUCUCAGGGUGGUGAAUUCACACCCCGUGCUGGGCA